UAUAUAUUUAUAUAUAUAUAUAUAUAUAUAUAUAUGAUAUGCAUAUAUUCAAUUAUACAUAUAUCGUGUAUUUUUAUGCGCUCAUUUUCUUGAUGAUUUUCAAAAUAUAUUGCAUUCGUGAUUUUUAUGAGAGAAAGAACACACACACAGCACACUCACACCCAUACACAAGAAAUAAAAAACUCUACAAACCACAUAUUAACCACAAUAUAGUUUUUUAAGGCCCAAUAAUGUCAAGGCAGCGUGUUUCAUAAAGAUUUUCGUGUUUUUCCUCUUUCUUUCUUUCUUUUUUCAUAUUUGACCAGUCGCUAAGGUCAAGAGGAAGAGGAGAAAGAACGAGAGUAUUUAUGUACUUUUGCAUUAAAUAUGGGACUUCGCGAAAGACUACUGCAGGUAGAUCGUAUCAAAAUGACUCAAAAAAGAGCAGCCGUUAUAAUUUUCAUCAGCCAUAUGACAAUUCUUCUAAGAUCUUCUUCUUCUUCUUCAGCAAUUUAGUAAAUCAACAACAUAUGAUUCACUGUGUUAAUUAAGAGAGCUCUUUUCAGAUUUUUAGAAUUUAGGAAAUUCUUGUACUGUCUCUGGCAAGUUAACAAUUUAGUCAUAAAAACAAUUCCGUGCUAGAUCUUUUGUUUUACAUAUAUUGCCCUACAUUACGUUUUAGACAAGAGAUAAAUAAAAGAAAAGAUAUUUAAUAAGUUUUUUGCGGCGUAAAUCAAAAUUUUUUCUUUGAUUAAAGAUUCCGUCAUAUAUUUAUGGAAGUAGUGUAAAUGUAAAAUAUGCUGCGUGUACUUGCCAGUCAUAACAAAAAGUAUUUGUCAGAAUUGCUAAACUUCUGAGUCAGAUGAUGAAAACUUAUUGCAAGAAAUGUGCUACCUGCCAUUCCCCUUUUUUGAUGUGAAUUGCCGCGUAGUCUGCGUAUAGGCUUCUUUUAUGCUUUUCUUUUCUUUAAGUCCACUUUUUUCUAAGUUUCACAAUAAUGGGCUUUUCGUUAUCGGCAAAAUUGCUGCCUUUUUUAACCAUGCACUCUAUCUUUUAGAAAUAUUCCAAAAAGAAAACGCCCAGAAUAACAUUAAGUGCUACGACUUCAAAAAAGGUGUACUAAGACUUUAAAUACUACGUUUGAGUGUUUUAAUCAAAGUUAUCAAGUUUGUAUUAGCUUCUUUUUUGAAAAAUAUUUGGUCCAAGUAUAUCUUAAUCGAUAGACAAAUGAAUUAUAUACUCUAGAGAGUUUGAGCGUGGGCGACGGUGUUCAGGCAGUUUGUCGUUACAAUUUUAGAAGACACUUAUCUGUUUUCAAAUCAAUAUAUGUUAUAAGUCUUAUAGUUUUUCAGGCGUUAUGGUCACAGUCGUAGGCGUAUAUCGCGGCCAUCAGCUAUUUGUAUGCAAGCCGAAUGUUCAUUUUGUCUUCAGCCAUGGCGUUCAAAUGACAGCACACAGACGGGCGGGCGGACGUUAUUAAAUCAUCUCCGAAAUUGUUGGUGACUAAAUAUGUAUAAAUAAUUUAUAGAUGCAUUGCGGUGCAUACGUCUAAUAUUAGUGUGGAUAUGACAGGCUUAUGGAAGGUAUUAGUGUGGAUAUGACAGGUUUGUGGAGUCUAAUCUAAUCUUUACAAAGCACAAAUCUUGUACACUGCGAAAAUCAAAUUUAUUGUAAGGCCUAUUAUAACGUUCUUCAAAAUUAUUUGAAUUACUUUACAAAAACCUCGACGUCUUUCUGAGUGUUUGUUGAGUAAUUUUUUUCUAAUUAAGUUGACAUCACGUAGAACUAAGAAAUAAAAAAUAUUAAUUACAAAACUACCAAUGUAAGAGAAUUCAUAUGAACAGGAAAAAAGAGAGAUAGAGAGAAGAAGAGACGGUGUCUUUUUUCUUACGUGGUUCGUACUACUCAUAGCAUGAUUAAUGAAAAGAAUCGUAUAAAAAAACAAAAAAAAGUUUCCCAAGGGCCACGGGUGUUUUCCUAACAUUAGUUUUAAAAGUUUUCUUAACUAUUUCAAUUAUAUUUUAAUACAACUUUGAUAAUAAUUUUCCUUAUAAACAAAAAUUUUUAACAGAAAAACACCACACUUGUACACAUAAGCUAUAUUUCCAAAAAAAAAAAGAAAUAACUCGAUAAGCUCACUACACAAAAUGAAUAUAACGAGAGUAUAACAUUAUAAUAAGAGAAAUAUAGCUAAGAUAUAGCAAGAAGAGCAAUAAAGUAAGAAAGAAAAAGUGACAUACUAGACCACCUAAUUAAGAAAAACCGAACGAUAACUGAUAUGAAAAUUUAUGAUAAAGUACUAUUUAUUUCUCUUGUCCAACAAUGUGUUAGUAACUCUUUCGUCCCACUUCGUUAGUUGUUGGUUGAUUUGUUGAUUAUAAAUUCUUGUUGUUGUUGUUGUUGUUCUUCUUCUUCUUUUUCUUUUUAUUUAUGAUUUCGAUGACAAUAGAUUACAAGAGAAUUCUACAGUUAAAUAGAGUAUAUUUCUGUUAUUAUGUUACUAUCACCGAUUUAGUCAUUUGGGCUCAAAACCGAUAUGACUAACAGUACGAUUUCACGUAGUAUUUACAAAAAAAAGAAGAAUUUUACACAAGGCACACACACUUACGGGCACACGUAAUUAACAUUAGCUCACAUUCGGUGUCGGUAUUGGCCGACUGUCUGGCCAGCCAUUUAGUUUAAUUGACUGACAGCCAAUGUGUGCUGGCCUGGCUAAAGGCUAUGACGAAAUUUUUGGCCUCUUUCUUUUCAAAUAUUUUGCAACUAAAAUAAAAACACUCAUACACUUACACACACGCACUCAACGCACACUCUAUAUAACAUUAUUCGAUAAUCACUCUCCAAGUUCAAAUUCUACUCGUUUGUGCAUUUGUGUUACUGAUUUUUUUUUUAAUAAAUAUAUUUUAUUUUUAUUUACAAAUAGCAAAUCACACGCCUUUUCAUCUCGCUAA